UCAUUUGUUUGCAUCAACAUCGUGUUCUCCCUUCCCUAUUGCUUUGUGAUAGCCUUUCAAAAUUGAUGUUAUUGCUGGCUCUUUUGCUGCCACUAGUUUCUCUCCUUCGUGCAAACUCUCUGAAACUGCUUGUCUGGGAGGUGGCAUUGCCUGCUCAUGAACACAGAAGCCAGCAAGGUUGCCAUCAGUGUUUGCAGAACCCAGCCUAGGAGGGGAACCUAGAUGCUGGAUGCAAAGUUUUUGCAGGCUGGUGUUGCUGGUUUCACUGAGAUCCCCUCUGAACUAUAAGGCAUCCAAGGGAGAAAAGGAUGUGCUGAGGAGCAGGCAGUGCUGCAGGGGAUGACAGGCAAAAUAAACCUAAGGGAUCUGAGCACAAA